GGAACUUCUCUGGCAGCCAAGGACAGAAUUCCCCCUAAAACCAGCAGGCAGCUGUGACAAACAUGCAUCCCAUCUCUGGCAGAGCAGGUGUUUGGGCCUCCUCAAGGAAAUCCACACCACAACCAGAUUGGAUUUCGUGCAAACCAGCUCUGUGCUCCUGGACUAUUAUGUGGAUUGCUUCCCUCUUCCCUUCUCCCAUCAUCACUUCCACUUCUAAUUAGGAUGGAUGAGAGGCAGUUAAUAGCACAAAGGUUAAUGGCAAUGCAAUUCACAGUACAGCACGGGAAGCGUAAUGGCAAAUGAACUGAUACAGGCAUGCACUUAUCUGUCACCUCCUCCCCUGAGCAUCCUGCUCCAGUGUAGCUGUGAGUGGUGCAAUGCCAUUUUCCCUUGGCCACUUGGAGCACUUUGGGUAAGGUGCUCAGUGGGCUGCCCCAGUCAGUGCUCUACCUGCCCUGUACCUUCUCAACACCCUGAGGGUGUGAGCUGCUCCUGAAGGGACCUCCCAUAAUCAACCAUACAAGGCAGCCCUGCUCCUACCUUUCAGACCUUGUUUAGGUGCCUAGUAUUAGGUGAGAUGAUCCCAGACCAUAUAUGAGGCCCAGUUUCCCCAUCUUCCCCUUUUUCUCCAGGCAGGGAGGACAGAGGAGGAAACGUAGGGACCUGAGAGCUGAUACAGCAAACAACAGCUGCACCAGUGCCAAACCAUCUCACUGCUUCCACUCACUCCCUGCUUAUGCACCAGAGAACUGCACGAGCUCCCAACCAUCAGCACAGUGGGCACCCACACUCCCAAACUGUUCACCACAACCUCACCCUCUGCCUCUCCAGCAGCUUCCAGAAGCAAUGGCAUUCAUGAAAUUCCCUCCCACACAAUGAGCCUUGCUCCCACUUCUUGCUUCUGGAUAUAAGGAUGCCUAUAUUUAGCUGAACCAAGUUAAUUGCUUCCAUUUGAGCACCAAGAAGCACUAGAGUCAGGGUCAUCUUCACACAUUACCACUCUCCCAGCAUCUACGUCUUCAAGCUGCCAAGGGUUCUUUUGCAAGUUACAGAAAGCAUUAAAUGGGAUAGGGCAAUGCUCCAGUCAGAAUCAUAAAGGUUGGAAAAGUCCAUAUCUCCCCAUCACCACCACUAACCAUGUUACUCAUGAUUUCCAGAGGACAGUCAACUCAGAGAGGAAGUGCUCUGCUCUGAGUGUUUGGUGGCCCUGGAACAGGUAUCACCCCAUACCAGCCAGGAGCUAUCUGCAAUGGGCUUUGUUCAGCAGUCCCAGACUGGACCUCACCCAGACAAGAGCCUUGGCAUGGACCCUCCCAUUUCCUUUGUGCUGACUUCACCCGCUGUGUAGUGAAAAUCCCAAUUCCCAAGGCCUGGACACAGCCUGUUUUGUGCCAGCACAGCCUCUCCCAGUGCUGGCAGGUGACCUUGGAGCAGAUGCUUUCCACUCAUCACUUCCUAGGCGAAGCCUUGAGAAGCCUGACCACGCUCUGCUUUGAAGAAAAGCCUUUAUGUCCAUAAUUUGCAUGAGAAACAGUUUAUGACUACAGAAAUAACUAAGGAAAUCCAAAGCCUUCACUGUGAGCUGGUAGAGUUUCUGAAGAGUUCAUUCCAAGCUGUCAAAGACAGGAUCUUGUUUGCUGCCAAAUGCUGAGGGGCUUGGUAAAGUCCCUGCCUUGAAGAACAGGAUCACAUGGGAGAUAGCCUUGCUAUUGCUCCAGCCAGAGAGACAUUACAAGGUUGGUGGGUAGAGCAUGUAGUAGAUGGAAUUCGUUGCCUCGGCGAGAGUAGAUGUGCAGGAAAUAUGGGAAGGGAGACAAAUUGGACUUGUGCCCUGUUCUGAUUUGUGUAUGAGAGGCUGGAAGUGUUUUGUUUUCUGCUUUUUCCUUAUAUAAAAAAAAUAAGAAACAUCAAGUUUUGUUUUGGCAGAGGUCUUCUAAGAAGAUCUAGAGACGUAGAGUGGGAGGUUUUGCAGCUUCUAGUGAAAGGGGGAGAGGAGGAGGUGCUGAACUGCAAAGAUUUCUCUACCAACUGUUGGUUAGGAGUGGAGUUAGAUAAAUGUUAGCUAAAUACAGACUGCCUAAAACAUUUUGGAGGAAAAGCAGUUCUACUUGAAAUUCGUCAGCUUUUACUUGCACUGUCAUAAUAAUAUUAGUUCUCCGGUGAAGAAAAAACAAACAGGGUAGACAAGACAUGAAUUGCUAAUGUAAAAAAGGAAAGCCAACAACAAUUAAAAAAAUUUGCACUGUUCU
ensembl:lncRNA